GCCUGGGUAGCUCAGUCGGUUGAGCGUCUGACUUCAGCUCAGGUCAUGAUCUCACGGUUCAUGAGUUUGAGCCCCACAUCGGGCU
rnacentral:tRNA from 1 species